UACGUAGGGGGCAAGCGUUGUCCGGAAUUAUUGGGCGUAAAGGGUGCGUAGGCGGUUUGGUAAGUCUUAUGUGAAAUCUACAGGCUCAACUUGUAGUCUGCAUGAGAAACUGCCGGGCUUGAGUAUGGGAGAGGUGAGUGGAAUUCCUGGUGUAGCGGUGAAAUGCGUAGAUAUCAGGAGGAACACCUGUGGCGAAAGCGGCUCACUGGACCAUAACUGACGCUGAUGCACGAAAGCUAGGGGAGCAAACAGG
rnacentral:rRNA from 1 species